rnacentral:tRNA from 1 species
AGCCCCAUAGUGUAGUGGUUAGCACCUCAGGCUCUGAAUCUGAAGACUCCAGUUCGAAUCUGGAUGGGGCUG